ACUGGCGUCGCUGCAAUCGCCGCGGUGUGACGUCACGGACAGGACUCCCCUGCUACGCCGCCGCCGUUCUCCUAGAUCCGCACCGUCCGCGCCCGCUUUUGUGUGAUACGAUGGUGACUUACUGCUCUGUUCCACAAUGUAAAUCUCGCAAAGAAGAUGGUGUAAGUUUUCACUACUAUCCAAAGUCGACGAAGCUAAAGAAAGUUUGGAUAGUAAAGCUUAGAAUGGGCAAGCUGCCGUCAAAACGCGCUGUCGUCUGCAGCAAGCACUUCUGGGAAGAGGAUUUUGUAUAUCCCGUAUACAAGACGCUAGGUUACAAGUACCGAAAGUUGUCGCCGGAAGCAAUUCCGUCCGUCAAUCUGCCUGUACGGCCACACGAUGCGAGGCGGCGUCUCGUGCGAGCGGCGAUGAGACGGCGUGAAAGAGGCGUUCCCAUACGCUCUUACCAGUUGCCACAGACAUCUUCCAUUCGCACUGAUGCUGUGGAAAAAUGCCAAGAUGGGGCAGACGAGAACUCGAGCAGCUCAAUGUUAGAACCAAUUGAUGCACCACUGGCCGACGAGACAGAACAAAUAGAGUGCUGUGGUACGUUUAUCUUUCAAGUAAUGCAAAUGUUCAUGUGCCAAAUUGUGUUGCAUGUGGGCCCUCAUGUCAUUUACUGUGAUGUAGAGUAC